UAGGGAAUCUUCGGCAAUGACGAAAGUCUGACCGAGCAACGCCGCGUGAGUGAAGAAGGUUUUCGGAUCGUAAAACUCUGUUGUUAGAGAAGAACAAGGACGUUAGUAACUGAACGUCCCCUGACGGUAUCUAACCAGAAAGCCACGGCUAACUACGUGCCAGCAGCCGCGGUAAUACGUAGGUGGCAAGCGUUGUCCGGAUUUAUUGGGCGUAAAGCGAGCGCAGGCGGUUUCUUAAGUCUGAUGUGAAAGCCCCCGGCUCAACCGGGGAGGGUCAUUGGAAACUGGGAGACUUGAGUGCAGAAGAGGAGAGUGGAAUUCCAUGUGUAGCGGUGAAAUGCGUAGAUAUAUGGAGGAACACCAGUGGCGAAGGCGGCUCUCUGGUCUGUAACUGACGCUGAGGCUCGAAAGCGUGGGGAGCAAACAGG
rnacentral:rRNA from 1 species